rnacentral:misc_RNA from 1 species
GAUGAAGAACGCAGCGAAAUGCGAUACUUGGUGUGAAUUGCAGAAUCCCGUGAACCAUCGAGUCUUUGAACGCAAGUUGCGCCCGAAGCCAUUAGGCCGAGGGCACGCCUGCCUGGGUGUCACACGUCGUUGCCCCCCCAUCUACUCCUUCGGGAUUGCGGGGGGCGGAUGAUGGCCUCCCGUGCGCCUCGUCGCGCGGUUGGCAUAAAUGCCAAGUCCUCGGCGACGCACGCCACGACAAUCGGUGGUUGCGAAACCUCGGUUGCCCGUCGUGUGCGGUCGUCGCGCAUCGAGGGCUCGAAAAAAUUGCCGGGCUCCGGCUCGGCUUUCAACGCGACCCCAGGUCAGGCGGGGUUACCCGCUGAAUUUAAGCAUAUCAAUAAGCGGGGA